AACGAACGCUGGCGGCAUGCCUAACACAUGCAAGUCGAGCGGACCCUUCGGGGUUUUCGGCGGACGGGGGAGUAACGCGUGGGGAUAUGCCCUUCUCUACGGAAUAGUCCUUUGAAACUGGGGGUAAUACCGUAUACGCCCUUUUGGGGAAAGAGUUAUUGGGGCAGGAUGAGCCCUCGUUGGAUUAGGUAGUUGGUGGGGUAAUCGCCUCCCAAGCCGAGGAUGCAUAGCUGGUUUGAGAGGAUGAUAAGCCACGCUGGAACUGAGACACGGCCCAGAAUCCUACGCGAGGCAGGAGAGGGGAAUCUUAGACAAGGGGGGCAACCGUGAUCUAGCCAUGCGGGGUGAGCGCUGAAGUCCGUAGGGAUGUAAAGCUCUUUCAGCUGGGAAGAUAAUGACGGUACCAGCAGAAGAAGCCCCGGCUAACUACGUG
rnacentral:rRNA from 1 species